rnacentral:lncRNA from 1 species
UCUUCCGUCGUGGUAAUCAUCCUCCUCCAUCGGGAACAUUGGUACUCAUGACCCAGUUUGUCUUCUGUCUCUCUCCACCUCCCUCAUAACAAAUCCCGGCACCUCAUCCGUAAGGUAAAUCGUUUCCCCGCUUUUUAGUCCCUUUGUAGCCAUAAUGUGUGACGAUCCAUUUCCCCCUUAGCAGUGUAUAGAAACUUGCAGCUAUGGAAACCCUCCCUUAACCUCUGUAUAUCCUUGAUAAUAGCCCCAAUAACCGAAUCAUCUUCCCGAUCGCUGCACAACUUUUUCACAGCUUUUUAAAACAUCGUGUUUAAGUUAUUAAUACGAUUUGUACAAACAUGUUUACAAAUUGAUAUAUAUAUGUUUUUAAAUAUUUUCACGAUAAAUCCAAGUUAUACUUAAACUAACAAGGUUAAAAAAAUCUGAUUAAUUCACGCGUAGAUCUCGAAAAGUUAUUCGAAAUCAAAAAAAAUCGCCUCAAUCGAACAACCGAGCGAAAAGUUAUGGCCUUUCAAAGUUUUCCAAGCUAAAAAACAUAAACUGUUCAUAAAUUAUUACUUCAAAAUGCUUUUUUUGGAGGGAAAAUACCAAAAAGCCCUAUAUUUUUAAAAUUUAUCGAAAUGGGCCCGGUAUUUUAUUUUUUUGACCGUUUGGUAGUGUUCACGCGCGGGCCGAAAUCGCGGCCACGUCAGCGCGCUGAAAAACGACCAUUCCAGUAAAUAAUUAAAUAAUGGGCCCAUUUCGGUAAUUUUUGAAAAAAAGGGCUUUUAUUGGUAAAUUGCCCGUUUUUUUGCUCUAUUAACCCCUGAAAGCCGAACAUCCCUUUCCCUUUUCCUUUAACUGUUCCCCGACAAAGUUUUAUCAGCUAUUUCCACCAGCUUUCCGUUUCCACAGCUAAUCCUACGCCACUAGAUCCACCAUCUCUUCCGUCGUGGUAAUCAUCCUCCUCCAUCGGGAACAUUGGUACUCAUGACCCAGUUUGUCUUCUGGCUCUCUCCACCUCCCUCAUAACAAAUUCUGGCACCUCAUCCAUAAGGUAAAUUUACUUUUAAAAUUUAUCGAAAUGGGCUCGGUAUUUUAUUUUUUUGACCGUUGGGUACUGUACACGAGCGAGCCGAAAUUGCGGCCACGUCAGCAAAGCGCACUGACGUGGUCGCGAUUUCGGCUCGCUUACCCUGACAUCGCACUGACGUGGACGCGAUUUCGCGAAAAAUGGACCAUUCCGGUAAAUAAUUAAAUAAUGGGCUCAUUUCGGUAAUUUUUGAAAAAAAAGGGCUUUUAUUGGUAAAUUGCCCGUUAUUGGUAAAUUGCCCGUUAUUGAAAAAAAAUGGACCAUUCCGGUAAAUAAUUAAAUAAUUAAAUAAUGGGCCCAUUAUUGGUAAAUUGCCCGUUUUUUUGCUCUAUUAACCCCUGAAAGCCGAACAUCCCUUUCCCUUUUCCUUUACCUGUUCGCCGGUAAAGUUUUAUCAGCUUUCCGUUUCCACUGCUAAUCCUACGCCACUAGAUCUACCAUCUCUUCCGUCGUGGUAAUCAUCCUCCUCCAUCGAGAACAUUGGUACUCAUGACCCAGUUUGUCUUUUGUCUCUCCCCACCUCCCUCAUAACAAAUCCUGGCACCUCAUCCAUAAGAUAAAUCAUUUCCCCGCUUUUUAGUCCCUCUGUAGCCAUAAUGUGUGACGAUCCAUUUCCUCCCUUAGCAGUGUAUAGAAACUUGCAGCUAUGGAAACCCUCCCUUAACCUCUGUAUAUCCUUGAUAAUAGCCCCAAUAAUCGAAUCAUCUUCCCGAUCGGUGCACAACUUUUUCACUACUUUUUCACAGCUUUUUAAAACAUCGUGUUUAAAUUAUUAAUACGAUUUGUACAAACAUGUUUACAAAUUGAUAUAUAUAUGUUUUUAAAUAUUUUCACGAUAAAUCCAAGUUAUACUUAAACUAACAAGGUUAAAAAAAAUCUGAUUAAUUCACGCGUAGAUCUCGAAAAGUUAUUCGAAAUUAAAAAAAUCGCCUCAAUCGGACAGCCGAAUGAAAAGUUAUGGCCUUUCAAUGUUUUCCAAGCUAAAAAACAUAAGCUGUUUAUGAAUUAUUACUUCAAAAUGCUUUUUUUGGGCAAAAUACCAAAAAGCCCUAUAUUUUUAAAAUUUAUCAAAAUGGGCCCGGUAUUUUAUUUUUUUGACCGUUUGGUAGUGUUCACGCGUGGGCCGAAAUCGCGGCCACAUCAGCGCGUUUUGCUGACGCGGUAGGAAAUCGCAUCUUAGAGGGCGCGAUUUCCUGGCGCGUACCCUGACAUCGCGUUGACGUGGACGCGAUUUCACAGAAAAUGGACCAUUUCGGUAAAUAAUUAAAUAAUGGGCCCAUUUCGGUAAUUUUUGAAAAAAUGGCUUUUAUUGGUAAAUUGCUCCUUUUUUUGCUCUAUUAACCCCUGAAAGCCGAACAUCCCUUUCCCUUUUCCUUUACCUAUUUGCCAGUAAAGUUUUAUCAGCUAUUUUCACCAACUUUUCGUGUCCACUGCUAAUCCUACGCCACUAGAUCCACCAUCUCUUCUGUUGUGGUAAUCAUCCUCCUCCAUCGGGAACAUUGGUACUCAUGACCCAGUUUGUGUUCUGUCUCUCUCCACCUCCCUCAUAACAAAUCCCGGCACCUCAUCCAUAAGGUAAAUCGUUUCCCCGCUUUUUAGUCCCUCUGUAGCCAUAAUGUGUGACGAUUCAUUUCCCCCCUUAGCAGUGUAUAGAAACUUGCAGCUAUGGAACCCUCCCUUAACCUCUGUAUAUCCUUGAUAAUAGCCCCAAUAACCGAAUCAUCUUCCCGAUUGCUGCACAACUUUUUCACAGCUUUUUAAAACAUCGUGUUUAAGUUAUUAAUACGAUUUGUACAAACAUGUUUACAAAUUGAUAUAUAUAUGUUUUUAAAUAUUUUCAC